GGGCGACCGUGGCGGUUACCACGAACACAGUCUCAGUGUUACCUUGGUCUGACCACGGUGCAGGUUGCGCACAUCGUUCGACACCACACUCGUGUAAAUAAUUUUAUUAUAUUCGUACCGUCGCGUUUAUCGUACCCGUUUCCGCCGGGCUGCCUUUAAAAAAAACUUUGAAGUAUCACGUGUAAAACAGGUAUGUUCUUUUUUCAUUCGAAAAUAUUCGCGAUACUCCCCGAUACGAAUGGUAUUCGUAUCAUAGUUACAUUUUAAUACUCAAAAAAGAGAUAAUUAAUAAUAACAAUAAACGACUUUUUAUUUUGUUCUCUCGUUUCGUUAAAAUCAAACACCAUAAUAUCCAGUUAUCGGGCGGAUUCACUUAUAGAUUCGUACAAUAUAUAGAUUCAUUUUCUAUCAGAAAUGUUGUUUCGAUCGUCAGCUUUAG